GUAAGUUUACUUCCAGGUACCAAAAACGUACUUGGGUAUGCUUGUUGGUUCUGUAUGCGCAUUAAUGGGUGUAUUAACCAUUGCACUGCCAGUUCCAGUUAUCGUUGCCAAC
rfam:Syphacia muris strain Valencia genome assembly, scaffold: SMTV_scaffold0001491